UGGUCCGUACGAAUGGGUAGAAGUUAAUGACGCUGCUGUUGAGUGGGUUACCUUAGAAAUAGAACCAUUAGAACCAUGGAAAUUUGACUACAUCGUCAUGGGUGGUACACUCAACAUGGCCGCCAACCCACCCAUCAUGAAAUGUUGACUUGAAAGUGGAUAUCCAUGAGAGUAAUACAAUUUCUAUGAUUUCAGCUACUUGGUUUGGGAUGCACUGAGAUGGUAUGCCAUGAAAGUAAUAUACCACGUGAAUGUGACGUUCAAGGGUGGAAACAAGGGACAGAGUAGGCGUUUGUUCUCUGAUCCACUGGGAUACUUUGCUGCUUGUUCCAGACAUAAGACCGGUGGUAGCUUGUCCCCUGCAGGAAGGUGAGGUGCCGGAGGUCCCUCCGCCCCCUCUGGACAUCGAGGGGUCCCCGGCAUACAUGGUACAAUCCAUUCUGGACUCUAGACGCCAGUUGAGGGGCCUGUAGUACCUCGUGGAUUGGGAGGGUACUUUCCCGGAGGAGAGGUGCUGGGUACCGAAGGAGGACAUCUUGGAUCCAUCACUGCUGAGGGAUUUCCACCGCCUCCAUCCAGAUAGCCCUGCGCCUCACCCUUUGGGUCGCCCUUGAGGCCGGUGUCGGCACGCUGUGGGAGCCGCACUUCAGGGGGGGUACUGUCACGACUCCUCUCCCUGUUCGGGCGGUGCUCGGCGGUCGUCGUCACCGAUCUACUAGCUGUCACCGAUUACCUUUCCCUUUUCUGUUGGUUUUGCCUUUAUUGUUUUCACCUGUACCUUGUUUGUGGUUAAUUCGGGGCUAGUUAAGCCUUCAGGCCCGCCUGGUUUUGUGAGGCUUAUUUUAUUUUUCUGUCAGUGGAGGUUUGUGUUUUGUUUCAUUACAGAUUGUUUGGUGUCCUGUUUUGUGGUCAUUUGUGCCUGUUGUUUUUGGCUUGACCAUUUUUGUAAUAAAUUACAUCAUUUCUGGAA